rnacentral:rRNA from 1 species
GACGAACGCUGGCGGCGUGCUUAACACAUGCAAGUCGAACGGAAAGGCCCUGCUUUUGUGGGGUGCUCGAGUGGCGAACGGGUGAGUAACACGUGAGUAACCUGCCCUUGACUUUGGGAUAACUUCAGGAAACUGGGGCUAAUACCGGAUAGGAGCUCCUGCUGCAUGGUGGGGGUUGGAAAGUUUCGGCGGUUGGGGAUGGACUCGCGGCUUAUCAGCUUGUUGGUGGGGUAGUGGCUUACCAAGGCUUUGACGGGUAGCCGGCCUGAGAGGGUGACCGGCCAAAUGGGGACGGAGAUACGGCCCAGACUCCUACGGGAGGCAGCAGUGGGGAAUAUGGCACAAUGGGCGGAAGCCUGAUGCAGAAACGCCGCGUGCGGGAUGACGGCCUUCGGGUUGUAAACCGCUUUCGCCUGUGACGAAGCGUGAGUGACGGUAAUGGGUAAAGAAGCACCGGCUAACUACGU